UACAGAGGGUGCGAGCGUUGUUCGGAAUUAUUGGGCGUAAGGCGCUUGUAGGCGGCUUGUUAAGUUCCGUGUGAAAUCCCCAGGCUUAACCUGGGAAGUGCGCGGAAAACUGGCGAGCUUGAGUGCCGGAGAGGGUCGCGGAAUUCCCGGUGUAGAGGUGAAAUUCGUAGAUAUCGGAAGGAACACCGGUGGCGAAAGCGGCGCGCUGGAUCUCUUCUGACGCUGAGGCGCGAAAGCCAGGGGAGCGAACGGG
rnacentral:rRNA from 1 species